GCCGCUUCAGCCCUUCAACGAUCUGCCACUAUUCGACCUGCAUUCAGACCUGUGGGUGGUGCUUCUUCUGUUCCAACAUCACCUGUUUCUGUUGGUAGAACAUCUCAGCCGUCUUCCCCUUCUGAUAGAAAAGAAGCUAGUCCCAAAACUGCUUCAGUGCCUAAUUCCCCGGUGAAAACCUCGCCAACUGCAGCGAGGCCAACAACUUCUCCACCGAAACAAACCACACCUGCGUCAUUGCCUUCUUCUUCAGCCAAACCAGUGGCAACUACUGCCUCUGUUCCAACUUCUCCAGCCAGGACAGUUGCAACUGCUGUCUCUGCACCAACUUCUUCUCCAGC
rnacentral:lncRNA from 1 species